rnacentral:tRNA from 2 species
UAAAUCCCUCCUGUACUA